GGGCCGUUAGCUCAAUUGGUAGAGCAACUGACUCUUAAUCAGUAGGUCGUAGGUUCGACUCCUACACGGCCCA
rnacentral:tRNA from 1 species